AGUGAACGCUGGCGGCGUGCCUAAUACAUGCAAGUCGAGCGAACAGAUGAGAAGCUUGCUUCUCUGAUGUUAGCGGCGGACGGGUGAGUAACACGUGGGUAACCUACCUAUAAGACUGGGAUAACUCCGGGAAACCGGGGCUAAUACCGGAUAAUAUUUUGAACCGCAUGGUUCAAUAGUGAAAGACGGUUUCGGCUGUCACUUAUAGAUGGACCCGCGCCGUAUUAGCUAGUUGGUAAGGUAACGGCUUACCAAGGCGACGAUACGUAGCCGACCUGAGAGGGUGAUCGGCCACACUGGAACUGAGACACGGUCCAGACUCCUACGGGAGGCAGCAGGAGGGAAUCUUCCGCAAUGGGCGAAAGCCUGACGGAGCAACGCCGCGUGAGUGAUGAAGGUCUUCGGAUCGUAAAACUCUGUUGUUAGGGAAGAACAAAUUUGUUAGUAACUGAACAAGUCCUGACGGUACCUAACCAGAAAGCCACGGCUAACUACGUGCCAGCAGCCGCAGUAA
rnacentral:rRNA from 1 species